AUUGAACGCUGGCGGCGUGCUUAACACAUGCAAGUCGAGCGGCAGCGCGGGAGCAAUCCUGGCGGCGAGCGGCGAACGGGUGAGUAAUGCUUCGGAAUCUGCCCUUCAGUGGGGAAUAACCAGUCGAAAGACUGGCUAAUACCGCAUACGAACUGAGGUUGAAAGCAGGGGAUCGCAAGACCUUGCGCUGAUGGAUGAGCCGAAGUCGGAUUAGCUUGUUGGUGGGGUAAUGGCCUACCAAGGCGACGAUCCGUAGCUGGUCUGAGAGGAUGAUCCGCCACACUGGGACUGAGACACGGCCCAGACUCCUACGGGAGGCAGCAGUGGGGAAUUUUGGACAAUGGGGGCAACCCUGAUCCAGCCAUGCCGCGUGAGUGAAGAAGGCCU
rnacentral:rRNA from 1 species